UACGGAAGGCAGCAGGUGGGGAAUAUUGCACAAGUGGGCGCAAGCCUGAUGCAGCCAUGCCGCGUGUAUGAAAAAGGCCUUCGGGUUGUAAAGUACUUUCAGUCGUGAGGAAGGUGUUAAGGUUAAUAACCUUAGCAAUUGACGUUAGCGACAGAAGAAGCACCGGCUAACUCCGUGCCAGCAGCCGCGGUAAUACGGAGGGUGCGAGCGUUAAUCGGAAUUACUGGGCGUAAAGGGCACGCAGGCGGUUAAUUAAGUUGGAUGUGAAAUCCCCGGGCUUAACCUGGGAAUGGCAUUCAAGACUGGUUAGCUAGAGUCUUGUAGAGGGGGGUAGAAUUCCAUGUGUAGCGGUGAAAUGCGUAGAGAUGUGGAGGAAUACCGGUGGCGAAGGCGGCCCCUGGACAAAGACUGACGCUCAUGUGCGAAAGCGUGGGGAGCAAACAGGGAUUAGAUACC
rnacentral:rRNA from 1 species